GUGUUCACUUCAGUAGCACACACACUAAAACUGAAAUAAUACAGAUUAACAUGAUCCCUGAGCAAGGAUAACAUGCAAAUUUAUAAAGCAUUUCAUAAUUUU
ensembl:snRNA U6 U6 spliceosomal RNA